CCUAUGAGGGAGGGAGGGAGGGUUGAACAAAGAACUGCCAGGUAUCCUUCCUGCCACGGUGCUGGGCUCCACUUCCUGACAUUUCUGUUCAAAGAAGUCUAUCAAGCUUCUGUCCUCUCCUGGGUGGCUGCCACUAACAACACACAAAUGAUUCUCUUUACUGCUAUGGCUACGGCCAAGGUGGUGCUGACUUCAGUGCGCCCACUUGUGAUCAUACUGCAGUAGAGCAGCCUGGAGACUGCAAGGAUCUGUUUGGGUUUUCCGCUGUUUAUAAGACAGGGACACAGACGGGGCAGUUCUCAGGAGAAGAGACAAGAAAAGGCUCCGCUGAUCGCCCGCCUUCUGGAACACUAGAAUCACCCAUCCACACGCCCAGGGGUCCCAGGCCUGGCACGCUGAACUCAGCCAGCACGCCGGGCCAAAGUUCAAGUGCUUGAUAUGUGCCUCUGCCACCCCGGAUGGCUGCGGCCGCCCUCCCAGUUCCAUGUCUGGGCAGAGGCAGGCACAGAGCACAGCGAAUGGCUCAGAACCCAGCCAGCUGUGACCUGUGUACUGAAAGGGGUGAAGUGCCUGGGGCAAGACAGGUGGCAGGCAGACCUUAAGUAGGUUACAUACCUGGCCCCUACCCUGACUGGUCAGCUCCAGCGUAAAUUCCUUUCACUGGCCCUUGGAGGGGUUGGGAGCACCAAGGAGCUCAGGUCUGAGAGGACUGCCAGGUAGGAGAGCAGGCAGGGUGAUGGCUGUUGGGGCGGGCUAGUCACACACCUCAGGGACAUGGAUCCUUGGAACGGAGAUGGGCGGUCAUGGCGUGGUAAUUAAAUGUCAGGUUAGGCUACAGAUCUCGUCCCUUAGCAAUUCCGGUCGUGCCCAUAACUACCAGCAUGAUGAGGCCUCUCCCACAAAUCCCUUUUCCUACCAGACAGCUGUUCUUGGUGCCCACAGCUGCCUAAAACCAGAAUCCACCUCCCUUCAACCCAGGAGCUCCACAACCCCACAAGGUUUCACUAUGUAGUUUAGUCUAGCUUUGAACUCACUACUGUAGCUUAGGGUAUGACUUCCCCGUUGUAGCUUAGGCUGGCCUCCGACUCACUAUGUAGCCUAGGCUGGUUUGGAACUCUGAUCUUCCAGCUUCCACUUUCUGGUUGCUAGGAUUAAGAGCAUGUACCACCCCCAGCCUUCAGCCCCUACUCUUUUGUCUCUUAGAAAGGUCUUAGCCUCUCCCUGUUGCAGGCGGACCUUCCUGCCUGUAACCUUGACCUUCUCCAAGAUUUCUCCCUGCGAAACCUCCAGGCUGGGUUUAGUGUGCUCACUCCCUCUCUCCCCUUUUGCCCUCUGGUUCCUCCUUUUGUUUUCUCUAGUUGAGACAGUGUCUUGGGAAGCUCAAACUUCCUUUGUAGGGAAGGCAGGCUUUUAUCCUUGCAUCUACUUCCUCAAUUCCAGAAUAGGACACCCAGCUAAAGUCUCUAGUUUUUGUUUGUUAUUUGAGACAAGGUCUCACUGUGUAGCCCUGGCUGUCCUGGAACUAGGGGUGUACGCAUGCUAGCCUCAAGCCUGCUUCUGCCUCCUGGGUGCUGGUAUGACAGGUUUGUGCCAGCACACCUGGAUUCAUAGUCACUAAUUUUAAAAGUCUUCUAAAUGUGUUACUUUUUUUGAUUAUGCCACUAUUCCAGUAAUCAAGACACACUUUCUUCCUUUUUUUUUUUUUUAAGAGUUUUUUGAGACAGGGUUUCUCUGUGUAGCUCUGGCAGUCUUGGAAAUUCACUCUGUAACCCACACUCACAAGAUCUGCCUGUCUCAACCUCUCAAGUGCUGGGAUUAAAGGUGUGCACCACUA